rnacentral:rRNA from 1 species
GACCCUUCGGGAGCUUGCACAGGUGCUGCAUGGCUGUCGUCAGCUCGUGUCGUGAGAUGUUCGGUUAAGUCCGCUAACGAGCGCAACCCUCACUGUGUGUUAUAUGUGUCACACGGGACCGCCGGUCUUAAGCCGGAGGAAGGUGGGGAUGACGUCAAGUCAGCAUGGCCUUUAUAUCCUGGGCUACACACACGCUACAAUGGCCAACACAAUAGGUCGCUAAGCCGCGAGGUGGAGCCAAUCCAUAAAGUUGGUCUCAGUUCAGAUUGCAGGCUGCAACCCGCCUGCAUGAAGAUGGAGUUGCUAGUAACCGCAGGUCAGCUAUACUGCGGUGAAUACGUUCCCGGGGCUU